rnacentral:lncRNA from 1 species
CUAAGAAACAUUAUUGUUUGAUUAAAAAUUACUUUCAUUUGACCUAAAAAAAAAGCAUGUCAUAAAAAUUACUGUUAAGAAAAUGCAAUAAUAAAUUUAUCCUUUUCAAAUUAUUCAUAAAUUUAAGCAAAUUUUUUUACACUCUUUGAAUUUUUUGAUUUGUUAGACUAUUUAAAAACUGCAUGACAUUUAAAAAUGUUCACUUAUUAUGAAGCCUUUUAAUACCUUGUAAAAAUUAUUGAAGCAUUUCUAUCCAAUGAUAGAUAUAUACAAAAGUUCAAAUUUUAUCUAAUGUCAUGCUUUUUAUUUAUAACACAUGUGCAAAAUAAUUUAGAUACCAUGCACAAUGAAACAUAUUAUUGAAGUACAAUUUAGUUUUUAAAUUUCAAUUGAGAUCUGAUUCUCUACAAGCAUAAUUAAUAAUCUGAAGUUUAUUAUUACUUGUUAAAUGUUUCUUCUUUUCAAAGUAGUAUGAUUCUUAAAAUUCAAUACAUAAAAAUUUUAAAAUAAAACUGUCAUAAGUAAUUUGCAUGUAUGUAUGUAAAUUUGUGUGUUUUAGUGUACCAAAUUUGAUAUAUUUUCAAAUUCUUUGAUAAAAAAAUAACAGAAAUUGCACUAAAUCUAUUAUAUGUAUGGAUACAUGGUUGAAAGUUUCUUUGAAAAUUAUAUGUUGUAAUGAUAUUUAAAGGCAACUUUAUAAAAGUAUUAACAAUAUGUUGUAUGAUUAUUAUAAUUCAUGUUUAAUUUUUUUUAUUGAAAAUUUAACUGUAAAAAUAAAAUACUUAAAAUAACUUACUUACAAGUAAAACAUGACUUAAAAUU